rnacentral:tRNA from 1 species
GCGGCUGUGGCGGAAUUGGCAGACGCGCAAGAUUCAGGUUCUUGUGAGGGUAACCUCGUGCUGGUUCGACUCCAGUCAGCCGCA